AUUUGCAUGUCAGGACCGCUGCGGGCCUCCACCAGAGUUUCCUCUGGCUUCGCCCUGCCCAGGUAUAGUUCACCAUCUUUCAGACCAAAGAGUCUAAC